CGUAGCUCCGCUCCGACUCUCCCUCUCCUUCUCUCUCUUUGAACCGCACACUCUACUCGACCUCCGCUCCCUCGCCGUAUAAAGCCGCCUUUCGUCCGUCGGCUGGUCGGAAGCGGUUGUGCGGCUUCCCGAUCGGGUUCUUUAUCCUCUCAGAUCGCUUCCGGCUGCUCGAUCCGUCGAUUUUAGGAGCUAAUUGGGUAUUUGAAGAAGACUUGUAAUGGCUGGAGAAAAGAACAUUGAGAAAGAUCAGCCAUUGGCAACAGAAUUGAAGUCAGAUCCCAUCAGUAAAUCAGCUGAGCGUGAUGUGGUAUGUCACAAAUUAUGUUUUAUUCAUCACAAUGGUCAGAGAACAUAAAUUUACUUAUUUAAAUUUAUAGGGA